rnacentral:rRNA from 1 species
GACGAACGCUGGCGGCGUGCUUAACACAUGCAAGUCGAACGAUGAAGCCAGCUUGCUGGUGGAUUAGUGGCGAACGGGUGAGUAACACGUGGGUGAUCUGCCCCAAACUUUGGGAUAAGCCUGGGAAACUGGGUCUAAUACCGAAUAUGACCGAUACUCGCAUGGGUGUUGGUGGAAAGCUCCGGCGGUUUGGGAUGGGCCCGCGGCCUAUCAGCUUGUUGGUGGGGUAAUGGCCUACCAAGGCGACGACGGGUAGCCGGCCUGAGAGGGCGACCGGCCAAACGGGGACUAGGAAAGGGCCCGGACCCCUACGGGAGGAAGGGGGGGGAAAAAUUGAAAAAGGGGGGAAAGCCUGAUGGAGGGGCCCCGGGGGGGGGAAGACGGCCUUGGGGUUGGAAACCUUUUUCACCGGGGACGAAGGGAAAGUAAGGGAACCUGGAAAAAAAGCACGGCCAAACUAGGU